rnacentral:lncRNA from 1 species
AGAUUACCCUAGAAUAGUUCUAAGGGUCUAUUUAUAAGCUAUGCAAAAUUACAGAAAUUUGGACCAAGCCCAACUACAAUGCUCAGUGCUGGAUUUGACCGCUCAACGGUAGGUGCGACACUCUUCUGGAUCGUUCAGCGUUGACGCUCAAGCAUCCUGCCGUAUUGAAUUAAUGUUCUCAGCGCUCAGCGGUGGAGUUUGAUGCUCAACGGUGGAAACGAUUCUUCUUUCACCCCUCAGCACUGACGCUUAAGCGUUCUGUCAUAUUGAAGUCCACUAUGCUGACGCUCAGCGUUGGAAUUGGCGUUGAGUGGUGGGAGCGAUUCCUCUUUUGCACCUUUCUUCAUCCCUUCUUGAGUCAAACUCCUUCCUCCUUUACUUUCCAUCCUUCAAUUCUCAUUAAAUCAUGUCAAAACAAUGUAAAACCAAGCAUAAUAUCUCUAAAACCACCUUCGACUCUCUUGUGACUUAACUUAAGUGUUUUGCAUGAUUUUAAGUUCAUUCUAAAUCAUAAAGAGUGUGUUUUGAUAUCAAUUUCAAGUAUAAAAAUAACAGUUUUUAGACCGUUAUCAUAUCUCGCAGUUUCUUGAUCACUUUUCUUGAUUACUUCUUGAUCUUUCACCCCACUAUGAUUCCGGGAGCUUUUCGAUCCUUCACCCCCACUUCGAAAACGGUAGGUUCUUAAAACGACAACUUCUCGAUAAGGCAGCUUCUCGAUCUGAUACACCCCACUUCGAAUCCGGCAGUUCCUCCCUUGAUGAUACGACAGCUUUUUGAUCCUUUACCCCCACUUCGAAACGACAGGUUAGACCAAUUACUUAAGUUCGUGGAUUUGGAACCUAACGAGAACUCAUUCAAAAGAUAGAGAUAGAAAGAAAAAAGUGGACUUUUCUGUGUCAUUAACCGUAAUAGAAAGCUAUUUUACAAUGUGGGAGUUGAAGCAUAACCUCCCUGCUAAAGACAUAACCCCUCUCUACAAAAGGCAAUAAGUCUGACUUUACACAAAAAUAUACUCAAUACUUGUGAUACAUAACCGAGUCUUAUUUAUAACAUUCCUCUACUUUUAUUCUAAACCAUUAAGUCCUCUCACCUUAUAUCCUAUCAAAGUCUUAUUCAAGAUUAUGGUUCUCAUAGUUCCGAAAAUGCAACAAGUGCCAGAGAAUCUCUUUCCAGUGAGGAACACUGUCCAGAUGCUGAAUAUUCAGAUGAUCCAUCUAUUGCACUGUUGUAAGCAGA